AUCCGCUCACCUUGGCCUCCCAAAGUGCUAGGAUGACAGGCGUGAGCCACUGUGCCUGGCAAGUUUUCUUGCUUUUGAAAAAGAUAUGUAGAAAGAGAAAGCCUUUUCUUUUUCUGGAACUUGUGACAUCUGCAUGUGAUGUCUGGAACUUCAGCAACCAUCUUGUGACUGUGAGAGGGAUGAGCCUAAGGAUAAUGCUGAUAGAUUGAGAAUAGUAAAGCAGAAAGAGGGAAAAAAAACACUUGGAUCCUUGAUGAUAUCUCUGAGUCACUGAAGGAACCCAUUUUGAAACCAUGUUAACUUUGAGCUUCCUGUUCAAUAAGAAGGGAACUUGAUAAAUUGUUCUUCUUAUUUAAACAAUUUAGAAGUAGAGUUAUACUUUAUAUAUAAUUGUGCCAAAGAACGAAAAAACAAGAAGCCCUAAGAAUGUUAUUUUUUGACUCAUUUCCCUCCCUCUCAAUAGAGGAGGAAAUUUCUGCUAUCAGAAUAUCUUCAUCCUCUGCUUGUUAAAUCCUGUGCUAUAUAUUUUGGGAGGGGAAAACCAGACACGCACAUCUUUAAAAGAUCUAAGGCCUGUAAUAAAUGUCUAAAUUUCUCUUCAGCAUAUUUUUGUGUUUGCAGAUUCAGAGACAAAAGACUUUAAUCUCGGCUGCUAAAUCCCCCUUUUAAAAUUAAAUUUAAAGUAACAUUUGAGGCUGUGUAUAUUGGCUGCAGAUUCCUCCCCAUAUUCUUCCGGGGAGUUACCCACCAAUGACAUGAGAGUCCCUCUCUAUAAUAAAGUAGCUUUAAAAAAAAUAGCUGCUUAUUAAGGCAGAGAUUCUAAUAUUAGCCUACUAUUUCACUGAAUAAAGGAAUUGGGUGUCUUUUGUACAAACUUGAGGGUCUGGAUGUAUUUCUGCACUUUUCUUCAAUGCUUUACAGAAUCUUAAAAUAGCAUUCCCCCUCCUUUCCCUCCAUCUCCAUGCAACCACAACAGAAUGUGAGGUACUGGUUUGGGGCUUUGGAACCGGUAUAUGUUAUGUUCAAUUUUAUUUUCCAUGCUUAAAUGAAGCUAGUUCCUUCCUCUUUCAUUUGGGAUGUAAGAGGGGAAAUGAAUAUUAUUUUUAAAUAUGACUCGGUGUUCUGCCCGUCUGUCUGUGGCCAUCGGGAAAGUGGGAUGUUGGGGGUAAAAAAAUAUGGAAAAGGAGUGUCCAGGGAAAGUAUUUCAGAGAUCAUGGAUUUGUCUAUUUUGUCUAUAGCCUGCUAGGAGUUACAAAAGAAAGGAAGAGGCUUUUUCUGUCUGUAACAUUAUACAGCCUUGGUCUACACCAAACACCAGGGGCAGGGGGAAAUGGAUGGGUGGAGUGGGUUGACAACUUGUAGGAAAAGUUCUGAUUUUGUGGUAGUCUGAGAAUGCCAAUGAAUGUUUAUAUAUUUAAUUUUGAGAGUGGAAUUUCACUAACUCUCCUGGGAAUUGAAAAUAGGACUUUAUUUAAUCUUCUCCCUUUGCAGUGGGAAAGAAAAGAAAAGGAAAGAGCUGAAGGAACUAUAAAGAAGCGAAGGAAGAAGGAAAUGCAGAGAAUAUUUCAUUCACCCUUUCAUGCUGUGGAGAAGGAAAGUGAGACCCAGAGCCAGGAAGUGAGUCCUCCAGGGUCACACAGUGGCUGACAGCAGAAAAGGCAUUGUGAUUUGGCUUCUUCUAUCCUUGUGUCAUCACUGAAGCACAGAAGCAUGGGUGUGAAGCAGGAAACUUAAAGACAACAGUAGAAACCAGAAAGCAGAAAAAAGGAACAAGAAAGAAGGCUCCCUGCAAACCCCAACCCUUUGAAUAUGUCCAAAUUCAUCAAAUUGUACAGUAGCAGGAUCACUCUUGAGAACUCUGACCUUCCUUCCACUCCAGUUAACUUCUCUGCAUGGGAGGGGGAGAUGUUUUUGACUGAUGAGACAGAGAAGAAUCAUCAUCCACUGAUCCAUGUUCCUGCUUGACUGCAGUGAACAAAGUUAAAAGUCGGAAUACAUGGGGCCUCACUCUCCACACUGCCCCCAACUCCAAGAGCCUCUCCAUCCCUGGACAAGGAGAAGGUACAGUUUCCCUCGUGUCUAAGUAAGCAUCAGCUCUGCAAAUGCAACUCAGCCUUGGGUUCCAACGUUUCAACUUAAGAGGAAAUAUAAGGUUGCCACCUACUUUGGCUUCAGAUUUUAAUGUGCUCUCCAGGUCAAUUUCCCAAGUAAUUAAGCUGAUGAUCUCUAGUGAAUUCUUGGGUCUAGGUAUCAAUUAGUUCAAAGCUUUGAAAAGCAAGGAUGUGAGUAUUAGCCUGAAACUCAUCCGUUCAUACACCACAGUGGGCUUCCGCCCACGCUCCUGGCUCUAAGAAACUAAAUCUUGAGCCUCUUACAUGACACUUUAACAUGCUGUGAACAUAUGCCUAGAUAAAUGUCGGGGAACCCACUAAAUAAAGCACUGCUCUAUCAAUGCACAGGACAGCUACAUUCCAAAGACUUCCUCUCUGAAGAUUUCUGUAAGAUCAAGCAGAGGAUAACUCAAGUAAAGGGGAAAUGCUUUCCUUAACUUAUUCCUAUGUACAUAAGGUUCCAUGUCAGCUCAUUAGGGCAGAGCCACAUAACUCUCUCCUCCCUUUGGGGCAGAUGAGCUCCAAACAUCUGUCCAGCCAGGCAGAGUUCCUGGAAUUAUGGGCAAAAUAUCCAGGUCGCAUAUGAGACAAAUUCCCUAGCAGAGGAAUAAGGCAAACUUUGUCUUAGGAUGCUUUCUCAUAAACACAGGAAGUAUCAUAAAAUAAUAAUUUCAACCCAUUUUUACUCAAAGAGAUGAGUGAACUGAUGAAUUAAAUAAUUAAAUUAGGUUUUGACAUUUUCUUAACAAGAAACAGAUCGCUGCAAUUAGAAGAGUUUGCAGAGUAAUUAUUUCACAUUGCUAGUUCAGACUGCUUUCACAGAGAGAUGGGCGUUUCCCUUAACAUGUGGCCAAGACAUAGGACAAAAUGGGUGUAUUUUGGAUAGAAACACGGAAACAUGAAGAGGUAUAUGCUUUGUAUACAGUGGCUAAAUUGUCUGGUCAGCUGUUUCUAACAGCAGGGGUGCAAAUAGGUCUUGAUAACUUCAUGUUCUGUUUCAGAUUUAUGAUCCAUUAAAAAUAUUUACAGUUUUAAAGCCCCAGGGCCAUGAUUGUGCCAUAGGCUGUUAUUCCGAGGCAGCACAUUGGAACUCGUUUACUGUGUGUGAUUUUUAUUUUCUAAAGAUUUCUCUUCUUUCUUCUGUUGUCUCCCUCCUUCCCUCUCUUUCAUUUUCUCUUUUCUUUUUUGAACGAGGAAUUUUGCUCUUUGUCAGAAGGUGAUAAAGAAGGCAACAAUGACCUUGAAUUCCUGUUCACAUCCAAAUUGUAUUGGGAUGUAGAACUCAGCUCCAUCUGGGAGUAGUUCUCUGGUAAUGAGAAAAUUCAUACCAGGCCCUAUUUUCAGCCUGAGAGUCCCCUUCCAGCCCCUUGGAAACAUCACAGUGGAGAAAGGCCCCCUUAGUGGCACACUCAGCCUCUCAUUUCUCCAGAGGGGUUAUUUUUGCAUAUUUCUGGCAGCCUGGCCUCUGACCUAUAGCCUGAUGUAAUAGGGUUCAAGUUAAGUAAAGUCAACAGUUGCCUGGCCUAUUAUUAUGUUUACCCUUGGUCCUUCUGCAAGCAGAAAACUUGCUUCUCUAGUAAUUCUCAACAGGUUAAACCUCUCUUUGGAUCUGCUUCUUCUCUGAUUUCUGAAUUGGUGAGAAUGAGCUACAUUAAUGGGAAAACUAGGGAAGGAUUGAGAUGAUAAAGAGAAAUUAGGAAAUACACUGCAAAAAACCUGGCGGAAUUAAAGAACUAUGGAUGAAGAGCCACGGAUGUUCACAGAGGCUUCAGGUUCUGAAUAUGGACGAAUAUGAUGCCGAGAUGUGUCCGUUUCAGACACCACUGCACUGAGAAAGGCUAGAGAAUGCUAACAUCUCAUCUUUGGAAAAGAUCUUGGAAAGAAUUUAACCUGGCGGUUUUGGAAUGUUUUUAGUAACUUGAUCUUUUCUUUGAGUCUAACUCAGAUUUCCAGUUUAUAAAACAGAUACAAUCAACGCUGCCCUAGAUAAUACCCCAAAAAGGAGGCUGAGGGCCUAUAUCACCUCUGCCCUCCUUCCCUCACCACACGGCCUCUGAGAUGCCUCCUCGAAGCCCCUGUCUAAUCAGCAUGGAGCAGAGCCUGAAAACCACUGCGAGCACAGCAUGUGCCCAGACAGGAGUCACCUCUGCAGGAUCCCUGACUCAGCCCCACUCAUGAGAAUUCCCAGCAGCUUCCCAGCAGCUGGAGCUGCCCUGACUUUCACCAUCAGAGUGGCUCUUCGCUACCAGAGCCUCUGAAACAAACCUACCCCUCUGUCCAUGUGACAACCUUCAAAUAUAGGACCACAGCCAGUAUGUCUCCUUGUGGUCUCCACACCCCACUGUUUGCAUUCGAUUAUUUGCUCCUUGAAGUCAGGAGUUGUGCCUGUUUUAUCUUCACAGUCUCAGUGCCUAAUCCAAUAGUGAGUAGUAAGCGCUUAAUAAAUGUUUGUCCUAGAUAAAGUGGUGAUAGUUACAAGAUGACACCUGGAUGAUUAAUAAUAAAAUAAUUAUAAAGACUCCAAUUAUUAAACUAGGCAUUGGGUUCAACACUUUAUAUACAAAAUGUAUUUCAAUUUUUUGGAAACACUUAAUAAGCAUUAUUAACGCUGUUUAAUAGAAGAGGAACUGAGGCUUAGUGUUAACUGCCAUAGGAGGGCCACACAGCUAGCAAGCAAGAGGAGGAAGCAGGACUUGAGUCCAGGCUUAUCUCAGCUUUUAACCACAAUGAUAGAAUCUAGUGGUUGAGGCCAGUGUUGACAGAUGUUCAGUAGAGACAAGGGCUGGGGAGGGAAGGAUAGGAAGGAGACACUGUGUAAGCAAGUGGAGGAAUCCAGAGUUGCUACUUGGGAAAUUGUCCUAAUAGAUGCACUUCUACCAUCACCACCACCCUGAGCUCCAUUUCUCUUCUUUCCUCCCUUUUCUCUGUCAAUUCUCAUCUUGACCCAGAUUUUUUUUUCUUCCAACAGUCAAUGGGUGGAUACUGUCUGAAUUCCUGAAGGGUUUCUGCUACUAGAACAUGACCACCCAGAGCUGUCUGCUCUCCAAUGGCUUAGCACAGCAGCAGCAAAGGAGGCGGGAGGCAGGCUGGAGGACAUGACAUCGCAGAUGUAUGAUACAUGUAUAGGACAGCCUCUGGCACAUGGCAGGUCAUCAAAUGAUUCAGUGUUCUCCCUUCCUUUCAAAAUGUCUUCUUGCCAGUUUCCCACAGUCUCUCGUAAUUUCCUUCUCUAGAGGCUCUAGUUUUGUCUAGGACUGAUUUGACAUUCCUGACCAUCUGUGGAAAAUGAUGCCUCCCAGAAGACACCAUUCUUUAAGACCUUCCUAUCCCAAUCAGGACAAUAAGCUCUCUCUUAAGGUCAACCCUUACCUUCACCCUGCACUUGUACCUUUCCUCAUCAUCACUGAUGCUCCUUCCUUCUCCAUUGAGCCCAAUGUUAGCAUGUGAGGCUUUUGAGCUUCCUUGUUUCAUUAUUAAUGGAGCUUGAGAUUUUGUUUCUUGCUUUGGAAGCUACAUUGCAAAUAAAGGUAGGGGCAGGAAGUGAGAUCUGAUUUGCUGUCUGGUGCCAAGGCUAUGGUUAGAUCUUUGAGGCGAAUUUCUAAGUGACUUUGGGUUAGAGUCAGAAUACAUGUUUAAGGUAAAUAGAGAAGAGAACUCUCUCUCAAGUGGGGGAAUCUCAGAGACUAGUGUCUUGGAGAGAGGUUUAUUGGCUAAAUAAUAAUUCCUUACAUAUGUUCAGCAUUUCACAGCUCACCAAGUACUUCUUUGAGUAUUAUCCCAUUUGAUUCUUGAAACAAUGCUCUAAGGUAGCUGGGAAAAUACCAUUGUUCCCAUUUUAUACACACUCUGCACUCUUCAGUAAGGACAGCAGAACUUAUGGGACUUAUUCACAGUCAUUCAACACUUUAUUGUAAGAACCAGGACUGAAACCGAAGUUUUCUGACUUGUGAAGAUCAUAUGAAUAAGGCAGGUAUGUAACCCACCUGAGAAAAUGUCUUCUGCCUUUAUGUAUUUAGAGAGUGUUAGUCUCUGUCCUCAUUUUCUUUCUGAAUCCUGGAUCUGUGUCCUUUUUUUCAUUCACCAUGCUGGAAAAAUAGAUAAAAGGAAGUGAUUUGGAGAGAAGGAAGAGAAGAACACGGUUCUUGAUCUCCAGGGACUGGUUCUAAGACAUGCUUCUGAGGCUGAGGUUGAUGCUAUUGUGAAACCCAGUAUGAAGCAUAAUCUCGUUAGGUCUAACCAGCAGAGAGUGGGAGAACAGUGUCUCUCUUCACUUCUGCUUCCUUUCCUCCCUCCUUUCCCACCCAGCUUUUGUGGUUUGUUAAUUAUUUGAGGCAAGGGUAUUGGAGGUGCCUAGGCUCUGUCUUCUGACUCAGUCUCAUCCCUCCCUGUCCCAUAAAAAUGUCUCAGAGGCCUUGUGGAUCUGAGAAUAUGAGGCAAACCAACCACCUCGCCCUUUCUAGGCUUGUACAUGGGUUUCUGAACUGUCCCCCAACAAACCCUCCCUAUGAUCCCACCCACCCAGCCACUAUUGCCAGCCCAACUUACUGGAAAUCUCUGUUCCUCUAAAGCAGACAUUGGCUUUGUUCCCAGAGCCAGGCAAAAUGGAAAUGCUUUCUAAGAAAAACACAAACAAGAGAAUUACAUCCUGAUCUGACCAGUUGGAAAUUUCUUCACAGUAUAAUUUUAUUUAUUCUUCAUCAAGGAUGCUUUAUCCCUCUUUCUGCAAAGACUGGUCUGCUAGGUCAACAAAGUAACUGAUACUUAUUUUUUUCCCUAGUUAUUAAAAAAAAUCCAACCCAUAUAAAUUGCUGUCAAUUCUGGUGACUUAUACUAUAGUUAGAGCUCUGGUAUCAAAAAUAAAUUGAUAUGAUGGUCCUGAAAGAGCAAUAGGAUCCCCUUUCUUGAAAGACAUUUAAAGAUUUGAGAAACUCUGAAGUGCCUCUGGACUACGGCCCUCACUCCCCUACUUCACCUACAGCUCAGAUUAUGUUUUUUAGUAGUAUGAUUAUUGGAUUCAACUCACUGCCACCAUCUUUGGAUAAUGCCAUCCAAGAGCAUGACUAUUCUCCAAUGUCUAAGUUCUCCAAAAACCUCUUUGUUUUCCUUUGCCCACUGCAGUCCAGUAAAUGUUACAUUAUUUUAGAGGUGACCUAAUUUGACCUUCAAAUCAUCCUUAAAAUUGGCUUUCCCACAGUAAAAGAAUUUCAGGCCACAGACUGUAACCAUUGUGUUUAUCUCACACAAUAUUGUUUUGAAGGCUUCUGUCAACGUAACUCAAGUUUGAAGCACUAAGCUGGCACUUGAUAUAUGUUGCUGAGCAGUCUAACUACAGGAUAUACUAUUUAUUAUUUUAGUAGCAAUGGGAAGUAUAUGCCAAGCCUUGUUUUAGAUGCUGCAAAUGCCAUGUGCCUAUGAACAGUCCAGUUUUAGACUCUAAAGAAGCUCUUAUUACAUAUUCAUAUUCCAGUUCAUAGAUAUUUCUCCUAGACUUUGGUUUUCAGAUUAUUUAACUGUUAUGUUUUUACUCAACUUUGUAUCAGUUUUUGCUUCAUCUCUUUCCUUUGUCCUAAUCCUUUGGAAGGAAUAGCAACAGCAAUGGUGAUGAGAAAGAGCCCAAGAAGGGUAGACUUGAAUUCUGCUUUUCAUUCAUUCAUUCUGUGAUCACCAACUUCUCCCUUUACUUCUCUUAUCCCAGCGAAUUUAUAUGUAAUAUUAGGAGAAUAGAAAUGCAAGGGACCCCAGGAAUAAAAUAAUUACUUGUCGAAAAUAAAUGGUCAAAGAUGACUAUUGUCCAGGUGUUAGAGAUGGAAAGGUAAAUCAGAUUUGAUCCCUGACCCUAAGGGGCCAAACAGUCUGGCAGGAAAACAAUCUUUGAGCCUAGAGUUUUUUCCUUGUACCCAGCACAUGCCUUAAACUUCGUGAGUGCUGGAGAACCAGAUGUUAAUUUGGGCUUGGAAUUUUGAGCUAGUUCUUUUACCAUAAUUGCUAUUUCCAAGUGGAGCUGAUCAUCUUUAUACUUUCUAUUUCUAGGGGAGAAAGAUAUAUUCUGGUAUAGAUCCUAGGUGUUCCCAAUUGGCCUAUAAAUUGACUUCGUGAUACAACAGAACAGGCAUAAAUUAAAAUAUCCUCUUCUGUUACUCACAAAUUCCAUACUUUUGGAUAAGUCAUGUCCCCUUUUGUGCCUCAUUUUAUCCCACUGAUAAUAAGAGGUUUGAAUUAGAUGAGUUCUGUGGUCCCUCCUACUUGAACAUUCUUUGAGUUGAAGAUCAUGGCCACAUCACUCAGCCCUGCUACCAGUGCCCAGGCUCUGGCGUUAGGCGUAUGUGUCUAAGCUAUUUGGUUGUCUCUUUUUCUGCCCCUUUCUCCCUUCAAUCCAUCCCUAGUAUCUGUACACCAGAUCCACUGCCUUGGGCCUACCAUAUAUAUUACAUUGGUGCAAAAGUAACUGUGGUUUUCGUCAUUAAAAGUAACCGCAGAAACCACAAUUACUUUUGCAUCAACCUAAUACUUCUGCUUCACAGUUUCUCAGUUCCUUUUUUCCGUCUACUGCAUUUCUUCUUGAAAUUGGAAUCGUUCUCUCCCUGGAUUUUACCCAAUCCCCCUGAAUCGGCAGAGGACUCUCAGCUUCUCUCCUCAGCUUGAACUACAUCUCGCUCCUGUGAACUUGUUUUCUUCAAGGCUUUGUAGCCUCUAUUUUAUAAGCAACACCUAUGGACUUCUGAAAAAACUACUUGAGAAUGCUAUUUUUUAUGUUUUACACUCAGCUCCCUAUUACCAUGUCUUUGUAUUUUGACCAUUUCUAUUACUGUUCAAGGUUACAUAACCUCAAUAUAUGCUACAGACUGAAUGUGUUUUUGAAAUAAGAGGCAGGGGAAAACUGUCAUUAGAGGUAGUAAAAUAUAAAGCUUUUUUCUUUCUUUCACAAUCUCCCUUGACUUGUCAUGGUCAUGUUGUUUUUCAAUUUGCUAUUUAAUGUUCUAAAUAAAGAAAAAUUGAAAUGGUAAAUUACUAGCAUAGAUUUACCAUUCAUCUUGAUAUUGUGCAAUGACACUUUUAAAUGCAAAAAUAAGGGUAUUUCACUCCUAUGAGAGAUUACUGAAAUCGCACAAUUUAUACUUCAUAGCUUGUACAUGCAUAUAUAUUUUGCUCUUUUCAGAACACUGUAAGCACUGCACCAAACCAAUUCAAGUAUUUGUACUUUUCUUCUUAAUAAUAUGCGCAUUCUAACAACACUCUCUACCUUUGACUUACUGAUGAGUAAGAGAGGACUGAAAAGAAAAGGCACUAUGGUUUGCCCUAUCUUUCUCUUUCCUUCUAUGGUAUCAUUUUCAGUGCAAAUGGUUGACUAAUAGAGGAAGUAACAUGAGUAAUGAAAGAUAUGACAGAGUCCCUUGCUAAUUCUUGUUUCUUAGAAUGUCCUUGCCCUCUUUCUGGCUUGAAUGAAAAAUGUGGCCUCCUGGGACUGUCAGUGGUGUGGUCCCCACGUCCUUAGUCAUAGACAUAACAUACUUACAUUG